CCGGCAUCGUGGAAAAUCCAGGAAGGGCGUCGGGUUUAUUCUUCUCACCCACCGAGGUGUCCGGCGGGCCGGUGCAGGCCCAGCAGCUCCAAGACGCCCGCGGGCCCGGCCUCCUCCUCCACCUCUCUCGGCGCCCUCGGUGAGGCGUGCCCUGUGCUCACAGCGCAGCUUCCUGGCCUCGCGUCCCCUUUCACGAUGGACAGCGGGUGGCCCACGCGAGGCCAGCCACCCGCCCUUCCGGGAGCUUUCCCAGAAUGCCGCACAGAACCGCAGCUCUCGUUUCAUUGGUGGGAACUGUGUCACAUGACCAACUGCCAAGGGGGCGGGCAUGCGCUGUUGUUCAACUCAUUGGCCAGAGCAGUGUCACAUGACUGCCUGCAGAGGGGCGGGAAAUGUCAUGUUUCCAUCUCAUUGGCCAGAGCGGCUUCACCUGACUGCAGACAGAGGGCUGUGAUGUUUUUAAGUAGAAGCAUUGUUGUCCUUGACAAAGUAGAGGCCGUGUUAACAAAAGAGAAAAGGAAGGAUACCAUCUAUCAGAAGUUACCUCAGCAAUUUAAUAACAGCUUCUGAGGGGGAAAGAAAACAGAAAGAAGGAUGAAAUUAAAUGUCUAGAUCAAUUGAAAGAAGCAUCUUCUUUUGGACAGUUUGAAAUGUAUGCCCCAGAAUUGAAGAAAUGCAAUAUUAAUAUCAAAAGGCGGUUUCUAGAUUUCGGAUUCCUGGAAACGCUCCCAGGAACCGCCAAAGAGGAAGAGCAGAAGCAGCGCUGUUCCCGCGAACAGAGUAGAGUUCUAUUCUGCUACCAACUGGCCGAGGGACGCGGGGACGUCCCCUGCUCACUGUCUUCAGUUUUCUGUGGGACAAUGAGCCUCAGGCCUCCUAGCCCUGACUCUGGCAGAAGAGCAAAUUCCUUGGCCUGACCCAGCGGCACGUGCGGGCUCCUGGGGAGGGGCGUGGCCGACCCGGCCUCCCCCAGUGACCUGCACCUCCCCUCAGGCCCAGAGUGAAGAGCAGGGCAGCGGAGGCCACACUGCCAGGACCCUGGGCCUCGGGACGCAGCAGGCCGGGUUCCCAGCCUCCUCCCUGUGCGUUUGCUGGAGUCCUGUACCCACUCUUGGCGCCAGCCUGUCCCCAUCUCUGCCCUCCCCGCCCUGCCAUCCUAGACUGGCUCCCAGGAUGCCUGGAAGGCAGACUCUGGCAGCCUGUGAGUGGGUGGGAGGGAGGGCAGGACCCCAGAGGAGAAGGGAGAAGAAAUCAUGGGCUCCAAGUGGGUGCAUUUACUCCCAUCUGCUCCAGGUUAUCUUUAAAUAGGAUAAAAUUACCCUCUCAGCUCCUUUAUCUCCAUGCAGUACUUCUAAAAAAAGAGCAUCUUGACAUUUUAGGAGGAAAAAAAUAAGGAGAAGAUGAGACAUGUAAUAUCCAGUGUAUACUGAGGAUGGAGAAAUUUCAAUGAACUCAUAGUCAAACCUCCUUAAUGUCUUGAAAAAGAAAACCACACCGGGGUCUGAUGUCGGGAGGGGAGGAGAGUAUUCCAGGAGGAAAGCCCGGCUCCGAGGUAGAAAGAAGGCUGUGGGGAGGGGGUGGGGCAGGUUGGUCCCCUGGAGCUGGGGUCUGAGACAGGCCGUUGGGGUUUGGGGGGCUGAUGCAAGAACUCUGGGACUCAAGCGCCCCAGGACUCUGCACUCACUACCCACCCCCCCCCCCCCACUUGCUUUCUACCCCUUUGCAAACUGGCUCCUGGCCCCCCUGCUAGUGAGACUCUCUCCAUGGUAAGGCCUCACCAGCAAGUCCUUGCCUUGGCUGUCAGCUCCCGCCCUCUCCCCACGCCCACCCUCUCCCUGGUCAGCCAGGACCCUGUGCUCCCUGGUGGCCCUCUUCUGUCCACUCUGUUUCUGCUCUUCACUGCUCCUUCUCUGAAGAUGCCCCCAAGCUGUGUUCCCUAGUCCCUUCUCCUUGACCUGCUAACAGACCUGGGACUCAGGGACAUGGGAAGGAGACUUCGGUCAAGGUCACAGCAACAGGCACUAGAAGCAGAGUGAUGGGUCUUCGAGCUGAUGUGAGACUGCAGGCAGCACGUUCAAGGAGAAAGAGGAUGAACUUGGAAGCAGACACACCUGCCUUCAGAUCCUGGUUCUAUCAUUUGCCAGCCACGUGACCUUGGGCAAGUCACCCUCAACCCUCUGAUGACACAUUUCUCCACAGGAGCAACCUGCCAGGGUUCCUGCGAGGCUGGGCCCAGUGUCUGACACACAUCUGCUCCAGAGGAUGAAUGCUAACCUCUUUUCUAGAAUUUCUCCAGUUUCUUUUAAUCAUCUGUUUAUUUGCCUGUGGUCCUCACAGGCUCGAGAGCUCCUGAAGGCAGGAAUCGCAUCUGUGCUCUCAGCUUCAAGUCCCGUGUGGGCAAGGCAUCAGUUGCCGGUACAGGCGGCCUGACCUCGUGGGACACCUGGGCUCUCGAACACUGCUUUGCCUGAGUCCUUGCCUUCUCUUCCUUGAAGCACUGCGCAUGGAUCAGAGCUCCUUGCAAAUGGCUUCAGUAGAUACAAUAUUGCUAAUUGGAAACAACGAGAAUGACUUUAUACCCUGUAUCUUUUUGAAAUCUCUACGCUCUAAGGAUUAUUUGUAUCCUACGAGAGGCCCAAAGAUGGUCCAAAGAAAAUAACACUGUCCACAAACUACUGGAGCGCCUGCCUGAGAACCGCAGGACUCAGGAUCGUCAGCCUCCCGGGACGCGGUGGCGGGAUGACGGAGUUCUCCUCCAGGUCCCCCGAGAAUGCUGUCCUCGCCCCGCAGGCGUCUUCGCUGCAGGCUGAGUAGGACUCUGAGAUGGUCUUGUGCACGCUGAGCCCAACUGCUGGUCCGUGUCGACUGCAACCUGACUGACAGAGACCAAUAAAAAUAAUAUGACCCUUUC